rnacentral:rRNA from 1 species
UCGGUAAGGUGAUAUGAACCGUUAUAACCGGCGAUUUCCGAAUGGGGAAACCCAGUGUGAUUCGUCACACUAUCAUUAACUGAAUCCAUAGGUUAAUGAGGCGAACCGGGGGAACUGAAACAUCUAAGUACCCCGAGGAAAAGAAAUCAACCGAGAUUCCCCCAGUAGCGGCGAGCGAACGGGGAGGAGCCCAGAGCCUGAAUCAGUGUGUGUGUUAGUGGAAGCGUCUGGAAAGGCGCGCGAUACAGGGUGACAGCCCCGUACACAAAAAUGCACAUGCUGUGAGCUCGAUGAGUAGGGCGGGACACGUGGUAUCCUGUCUGAAUAUGGGGGGACCAUCCUCCAAGGCUAAAUACUCCUGACUGACCGAUAGUGAACCAGUACCGUGAGGGAAAGGCGAAAAGAACCCCGGCGAGGGGAGUGAAAAAGAACCUGAAACCGUGUACGUACAAGCAGUGGGAGCACAGAGCAAUCUGUGUGACUGCGUACCUUUUGUAUAAUGGGUCAGCGACUUAUAUUCUGUAGCAAGGUUAACCGAAUAGGGGAGCCGAAGGGAAACCGAGUCUUAACUGGGCGUUAAGUUGCAGGGUAUAGACCCGAAACCCGGUGAUCUAGCCAUGGGCAGGUUGAAGGUUGGGUAACACUAACUGGAGGACCGAACCGACUAAUGUUGAAAAAUUAGCGGAUGACUUGUGGCUGGGGGUGAAAGGCCAAUCAAACCGGGAGAUAGCUGGUUCUCCCCGAAAGCUAUUUAGGUAGCGCCUCGUGAAUUCAUCUCCGGGGGUAGAGCACUGUUUCGGCAAGGGGGUCAUCCCGACUUACCAACCCGAUGCAAACUGCGAAUACCGGAGAAUGUUAUCACGGGAGACACACGGCGGGUGCUAACGUCCGUCGUGAAGAGGGAAACAACCCAGACCGCCAGCUAAGGUCCCAAAGUCAUGGUUAAGUGGGAAACGAUGUGGGAAGGCCCAGACAGCCAGGAUGUUGGCUUAGAAGCAGCCAUCAUUUAAAGAAAGCGUAAUAGCUCACUGGUCGAGUCGGCCUGCGCGGAAGAUGUAACGGGGCUAAACCAUGCACCGAAGCUGCGGCAGCGACACUGUGUGUUGUUGGGUAGGGGAGCGUUCUGUAAGCCUGUGAAGGUGUACUGUGAGGUAUGCUGGAGGUAUCAGAAGUGCGAAUGCUGACAUAAGUAACGAUAAAGCGGGUGAAAAGCCCGCUCGCCGGAAGACCAAGGGUUCCUGUCCAACGUUAAUCGGGGCAGGGUGAGUCGACCCCUAAGGCGAGGCCGAAAGGCGUAGUCGAUGGGAAACAGGUUAAUAUUCCUGUACUUGGUGUUACUGCGAAGGGGGGACGGAGAAGGCUAUGUUGGCCGGGCGACGGUUGUCCCGGUUUAAGCGUGUAGGCUGGUUUUCCAGGCAAAUCCGGAAAAUCAAGGCUGAGGCGUGAUGACGAGGCACUACGGUGCUGAAGCAACAAAUGCCCUGCUUCCAGGAAAAGCCUCUAAGCAUCAGGUAACAUCAAAUCGUACCCCAAACCGACACAGGUGGUCAGGUAGAGAAUACCAAGGCGCUUGAGAGAACUCGGGUGAAGGAACUAGGCAAAAUGGUGCCGUAACUUCGGGAGAAGGCACGCUGAUAUGUAGGUGAAGUCCCUCGCGGAUGGAGCUGAAAUCAGUCGAAGAUACCAGCUGGCUGCAACUGUUUAUUAAAAACACAGCACUGUGCAAACACGAAAGUGGACGUAUACGGUGUGACGCCUGCCCGGUGCCGGAAGGUUAAUUGAUGGGGUCAGCGCAAGCGAAGCUCUUGAUCGAAGCCCCGGUAAACGGCGGCCGUAACUAUAACGGUCCUAAGGUAGCGAAAUUCCUUGUCGGGUAAGUUCCGACCUGCACGAAUGGCGUAAUGAUGGCCAGGCUGUCUCCACCCGAGACUCAGUGAAAUUGAACUCGCUGUGAAGAUGCAGUGUACCCGCGGCAAGACGGAAAGACCCCGUGAACCUUUACUAUAGCUUGACACUGAACAUUGAGCCUUGAUGUGUAGGAUAGGUGGGAGGCUUUGAAGUGUGGACGCCAGUCUGCAUGGAGCCGACCUUGAAAUACCACCCUUU